rnacentral:rRNA from 1 species
AGUGAACGCUGGCGGUAGGCCUAACACAUGCAAGUCGAACGGCAGCACAGUAAGAGCUUGCUCUUACGGGUGGCGAGUGGCGGACGGGUGAGGAAUACAUCGGAAUCUACUUUUUCGUGGGGGAUAACGUAGGGAAACUUACGCUAAUACCGCAUACGACCUACGGGUGAAAGCAGGGGAUCUUCGGACCUUGCGCGAUUGAAUGAGCCGAUGUCGGAUUAGCUAGUUGGCGGGGUAAAGGCCCACCAAGGCGACGAUCCGUAGCUGGUCUGAGAGGAUGAUCAGCCACAUUGGAACUGAGCCACGGCCCAGCCCCCGACGGGAGGCAGCAGUGGGGAAUUUUGGACAAGGGGCGCAGGCCGGAUCCACCCAUCCCGGGGGGAGGAAGAAGGCUUUCGGGUUGUAAACCCUUUUUGUGGGGAAAAAAAAGCAGCGGUUUAAUCCCCCGCUUUUAGGACGGUACCCAAAAAAUAAGCCCCGGCUAACUUCGUC